CACACACAGCGCGCGUCAUAAUUUUAUGUGCGAAAAUCUUAAAAUUUAAUUAUUCAUGACAAAUUGUAUCGACAUUUUCAUACUCUGACGAACUUUUACGAAAGAUAUGUAAAAACUUAAUGUAGUGCAAUUAAAUUUAGUGCAAUAUCAUUAGCAGAACAUAAAAUUUUGAUAUUUGUUUGUAAAUUCAGAUCCUAAGAGCUACUACUUUUUUGAACAAUAAGUGUAGAAACACAAAUUUUGUCUGAGUCCAGAACAGCAACAGGGAAGAUGUCGUACCCUGAGUGUGGAGAUGUGUGUGUGUAUGUGGUGAACGUUGCCGCGACAAGCGUGCUUUAGGAUACAUCGCGUGUAGGAGGGGGUAAAAUCGUUUGGCUCAUUGAAAAUACAGGCAAAGUUGGCGCGAAGAAACCCAACCGGCAUUAUCGCGCGAUUUUUAUGUGUAUCUAUCAUUUUUCUCAUUCUAACAUUCAGAAAAAUUUUCAUUCUGUCUUGCUCUUCUGGGUGUUGGUCAGUUUUUGCUCGCAACUUGGCUGUGUCACACCAACCAUCCUCAUGUUUCAUAUGGUUCUUCUCUUUCCAUCGUUAGAGAGAAACUCUUGCGUCUCGCUUUUCUGGGACUUGUCCAAUUUCGCUUGCUACACCAAGCGUUCACGCAAGCGAUCUUCUCUCGUCCGCUCUUUGUAUCAUCUUGCAGGUACUCCCCGAUAUACGCUAUUAAUGCGGACCGGAGGCAAUAGCGUAUCUCGAAUAUUAGCAAAUGUCGAGUUUUCAGUCAAAUUAUAGCUAAUUUUCGUAUAAUUUUGCUUGAAGUGGUAGGAUUUACCACUUAAUUAGUUAUUUGAUCUGAUUCAACUGAAGAUUACAAUUGUACACCUUUUGAAAUGGCUUUUAAUAUUCGAUCAAAAGGGAAUUUAUUUAGAAUUUGAUAUUCGAUGUGUCAAAUUAGUACAAUUUGCUCAAAAAACUUUAAAAUUUAGAAAAAAAGCUUAUAGCGAAAUCGCGUAUAUCGAGUAUGGCGUAUAUCGGGGAAUACCUGUAUAGCCACCAGAGGAAGGCGCUGCUUCGCGUUCACAUGAAAAUGUGGUAGUGUGAAAUCAAGUUUGCAAGCGGUAGGCUACGUCGAUGCGUGCCCGUUUUUUUCUCUCGUGAAACCAGUACGGAAAAACUAUUUGCAAAUCGUAACACACGCACAAACGGAAGUGAGCACGGACCACGAUAGAAAUAAUUAAUUGGUUGUGCCAAAAACAAAAAGGACAGGAGAGGCAGGAACGAUCAUUCAACGCGUUAGCGCCGGACGAAGGAGAAGCGGCAGGAAGGCAGGAACGAUCCCCCAACGUGCUCGCGCUCCAACGUGCUCGCGAAGGCAGGAACGCGCCUGGUAGAGGAGAGGCGGCAGGAAGGUAGGGACGAUCAUCCAGCACGCUAGCGCAGCACUUGGGAACAGCGCGGGGGAGGCAAGCAGGAAUAAUUUUUAACGCGUGCACACCAUUCGACGAAGACAACGCUGGAUGAAAGGAAGAACGAGGAGAGAAGGCAGGCAAGACGGGUACGUGUGUAUUCCGCACCGGUUUUCGGCAGUGUGAAUUGUGUGAGUAUGUAAAUUUGUAUGUGCGAGUAAGAAGGUAAAAUAAAGAGCGUAAGCAUGUACGGAAUCGACAAA